CGCAAGUUGCGCCCGAAGCCAUUAGGCCGAGGGCACGUCUGCCUGGGCGUCACACAUCGCGUCGCUCCCUCCCACCCCUUUCCUUUGUGCAAGUGGGUGGGGCCUAGGGGGGCGGACAUUGGCCUCCCGUGCUAUUCUUGUGCGGAUGGCCCAAAUUUGAU
rnacentral:rRNA from 1 species